rnacentral:snRNA from 1 species
UUAUAGAAAAGUCUCUAACAA